rnacentral:rRNA from 1 species
AAGCUCGUAGUUGAAUUUCGGGAUUGUCACAUCGGUCGUGCCUUAAGGGGUAUGAACUGGUGUAGUCAAUUUCUCACCUUCUGGAGAACCGCGAUGCCCUUAAUUGGGUGUCACGGGGAACCAGGACCUUUACUUUGAAAAAAUUAGAGUGUUUAAAGCAGGCAUUUUGCUUGAAUACAUUAGCAUGGAAUAAUAAAAUAGGACGGCAUGAUUCUAUUUUGUUGGUUUCUAGGAUCACCGUAAUGAUUAAUAGGGAUAGUUGGGGCAUUAGUAUUCAAUUGUCAGAGGUGAAAUUCUUGGAUUUAUUGAAGACUAACUACUGCGAAAGCAUUUGCCAAGGAUGUUUUCAUUAAUCAAGAACGAAAGUUAGGGGAUCGAAGACGAUCAGAUACCGUCGUAGUCUUAACCAUAAACUAUGCCGACUAGGGAUCGGAUGAUGUUAAUUUUUUAAUGACUCAUUCGGCGCCUUACGGGAAACCAAAGUGUUUGGGUUCCGGGGGGAGUAUGGUCGCAAGGCUGAAACUUAAAGGAAUUGACGGAAGGGCACCACCAGGGGUGGAGCCUGCGGCUUAAUUUGACUCAACACGGGGAAACUCACCAGGUCCAGACAUAGUAAGGAUUGACAGAUUGAGAGCUCUUUCUUGAUUCUAUGGGUG